rnacentral:rRNA from 1 species
CCUACGGGGGACAGCAGUGAGGAAUAUUGGUCAAUGGACGAGAGUCUGAACCAGCCAAGUAGCGUGAAGGAUGACUGCCCUAUGGGCUGUAAACUUCUUUUGUAAAGGAAUAAAACGAGGCACGUGUGCCUUUUUGCAUGUCCUUUAUCAAUAAGGAUCGGCUAACUCCGUGCCAGCAGCCGCGGUAAUACGGAGGAUCCGAGCGUUAUCCGGAUUUAUUGGGUUUAAAGGGCGCGUAGAUGGGUUGUUAAGUCAGUUGUGAAAGUUUGCGGCUCAACCGUAAAAUUGCAAUUGAUACUGGGAGUCUUGAGUACAGGUGAGGUAAGCGGAAUUCGUGGUGUAGCGGUGAAAUGCUUAGAUAUCACGAAGAACCCCGAUUGCGAAGGCAGCUUACUAAACUGUGACUGACAUUGAUGCUCGAAAGUGUGGGUAUCAAACAGGAUUAGAUACCCGUGUAGUC